ensembl:lncRNA
AUUGUAUGUAAUUUCAAAAUCUACAUUCCAGUGCAUAUGUUUUAUUAUUUGUACCUUCCUAGACAAAGUAGCUUGCACCAAUAUGGACGUGAACUGCAUAAGAAAGGUACACUGUCCACCUAUUGUUAUUUCUAACCAACUCCCUCUACUUAUACACUCACCUAAAGGAUUAUUAGGAACACCAUACUAAUACUGUGUUUGACCCCCUUUUGCCUUCAGAACUGCCUUAAUUCUACGUGGCAUUGAUUCAACAAGGUGCUGAAAGCAUUCUUUAAAAAUGUUGGCCCAUAUUGAUAGGAUAGCAUCUUGCAGUUGAUGGAGAUUUGUGGGAUGCACAUCCAGGGCACGAAGCUCCCGUUCCACCACAUCCCAAAGAUGCUCUAUUGGGUUGAGAUCUGGUGACUGUGGGGGCCCUUUCAGUACAGUGAACUCAUUGUCAUGUUCAAGAAACCAAUUUGAAAUGAUUCGAGCUUUGUGACAUGGUGCAUUAUCCUGCUGGAAGUAGCCAUCAGAGGAUGGGUACAUGGUGGUCAUAAAGGGAUGGACAUGGUCAGAAACAAUGCUCAGGCAGGCCGUGGCAUUUAAACGAUGCCCAAUUGGCACUAAGGGGCCUAAAGUGUGCCAAGAAAACAUCCCCCACACCAUUACACCACCAACACCAGCCUGCACAGUGGAUCCAUGUUCUCAUUCUGUUUACGCCAAAUUCUGACUCUACCAUCUGAAUGUCUCAAAGGAAAUCGAGACUCAUCAGACCAGGCAACAUUCUUCCAGUCUUCAACUGUCCAAUUUUGGUGAACUUGUGCAAAUUGUAGCCACUUUUUCCUAUUUGUAGUGGAGAUGAGUGGUACCCGGUGGGGUCUUCUGCUGUUGUAGCCUAUCCGUCUCAAGGUUGUGCGUGUUGUGGCUUCACAAAUGCUUUGCUGCUUACCUUGGUUGUAAUGAGUGGUUAUUUCAGUCAAAGUUGCUCUUCUAUCAGCUUGAAUCACUCGGCC